GAUGCAGCCAUGCCGCGUGUGUGAAGAAGGCCUUCGGGUUGUAAAGCACUUUCAGUUGUGAGGAAAAGUUAGUAGUUAAUACCUGCUAGCCGUGACGUUAACAACAGAAGAAGCACCGGCUAACUCCGUGCCAGCAGCCGCGGUAAUACGGAGGGUGCGAGCGUUAAUCGGAAUUACUGGGCGUAAAGCGCACGCAGGCGGUUUGUUAAGCUAGAUGUGAAAGCCCCGGGCUCAACCUGGGAUGGUCAUUUAGAACUGGCAGACUAGAGUCUUGGAGAGGGGAGUGGAAUUCCAGGUGUAGCGGUGAAAUGCGUAGAUAUCUGGAGGAACAUCAGUGGCGAAGGCGACUCCCUGGCCAAAGACUGACGCUCAUGUGCGAAAGUGUGGGUAGCGAACAGGAUUAGAUACCCUGGUAGUCCACACCGUAAACGCUGUCUACUAGCUGUUUGUGACUUUAAGUCGUGAGUAGCGAAGCUAACGCGCUAAGUAGACCGCCUGGGGAGUACGGCCGCAAGGUUAAAACUCAAAUG
rnacentral:rRNA from 1 species